rnacentral:rRNA from 1 species
UACAGAGGGUGCAAGCGUUAAUCGGAAUUACUGGGCGUAAAGGGUGCGUAGGCGGUGAAAUAAGUUGGAUGUGAAAGACCCGAGCUUAACUUGGGGGUUGCAUUCAAGACUGUUUUACUAGAGUACUGUAGAGGAAGGCGGAAUUUCCGGUGUAGCGGUGAAAUGCGUAGAUAUCGGAAGGAACACCAGUGGCGAAAGCGGCCUUCUGGACAGUCACUGACGCUGAGGCACGAAAGCGUGGGGAGCAAACAGG